rnacentral:siRNA from 1 species
AUACACUUGGUUACAAAAGCAAAC